UACGAUCAGGAAACCCAGAUGAAGGAAGAUGAAGGAAGAAGAAUGAAGAGGAGUCGCUGCGCACAUAAAUUUCUGUGACGAAAAGCAUACCACAGAAGUAAAACAAACAACAACAGAGAUCUGAAGCCAACAAUAUAAAAUUUGAUACGAUCAUAAAUAUCGUCUGAUAGUGAAGACAGUGCAACUUUAGAAAUUCUGCAAUCGACCGACUCACAUUAUAUGAUCGCCUGGAACAAAUACCAAAUACCAUGAAAAGCCAAAAUUAAAAUUAACAUUCUACUAUGAUUUUUUUUUUUUUAGCUACAAGGCGAACAUAAAAAUGGCAUGCGAAAUUUACACACUAUACAAAGAGCAACAAUUUUAGCAAAAUUAACAACAGCAGCGUUGACGCUGGUGCCAUAUGAAUCUUCAACACAACAAUAACAUAACUUCUGUAAAUUUUUACUAAAACUAACUGUUCUCGCACUCCUUAACUUCUGUCAACAAUAAAUCGACUUUUUAUUUUCUUUUGGUUGUCUCUAUCUUA